GUGGGGAAUAUUGGACAAUGGGCGCAAGCCUGAUCCAGCCAUGCCGCGUGAGUGAUGAAGGCCUUAGGGUUGUAAAGCUCUUUCGCCGACGAAGAUAAUGACGGUAGUCGGAGAAGAAGCCCCGGCUAACUUCGUGCCAGCAGCCGCGGUAAUACGAAGGGGGCUAGCGUUGUUCGGAAUCACUGGGCGUAAAGCGCACGUAGGCGGACAUUUAAGUCAGGGGUGAAAGCCUGGAGCUCAACUCCAGAACUGCCCUUGAUACUGGGUGUCUCAAGUCCGGAAGAGGUAAGUGGAACUGCGAGUGUAGAGGUGAAAUUCGUAGAUAUUCGCAAGAACACCAGUGGCGAAGGCGGCUUACUGGUCCGGUACUGACGCUGAGGUGCGAAAGCGUGGGGAGCAAACAGGAUUAGAAACCCGAGUAGUCC
rnacentral:rRNA from 1 species